rnacentral:tRNA from 3 species
GGGGGUGUAGCGAAGCUGGUUAUCGCGCAGGUCUGUCACACCUGAGAUCGCGGGUUCGAGCCCCGUCACUCCCG